rnacentral:rRNA from 1 species
UUAAAGGAAUUGACGGGGCCCGCACAAGCGGUGGAGCAUGUGGUUUAAUUCGACGCAACGCGAAGAACCUUACCAGGGCUUGACAUCUUCUGACCGCUUAAGGAAACUUAAGCUUUCCGGAAGGUUUACUUUCUGGACAGAAAGACAGGUGGUGCAUGGUUGUCGUCAGCUCGUGUCGUGAGAUGUUGGGUUAAGUCCCGCAACGAGCGCAACCCCUACGGUUAGUUGCUAACGGGUAAGGCCGAGCACUUUAGCCGAACUGCCGUUGACAAAACGGAGGAAGGCGGGGAUGACGUCAAAUCAUCAUGCCCUUUAUGUCCUGGGCUACACACGUGCUACAAUGGCCUGUACAAAGGGCAGCAAAGGGGCGACCCGGAGCAAAUCCCAAAAAACAGGUCUCAGUUCGGAUUGCAGGCUGCAACUCGCCUGCAUGAAGGCGGAAUCGCUAGUAAUCGCAGGUCAGCAUACUGCGGUGAAUACGUUCCCGGGCCUU